UACGUAGGCAGCAAGCGUUGUUCGGAGUUACUGGGCGUAAAGGGUGCGUAGGCGGCCCUGUAAGUAUGGUGUGAAAUCUCCCGGCUUAACUGGGAGGGUGCGCCGAAUACUGAGAGGCUAGAGUGUGGGAGAGGAAAGUGGAAUUCCUGGUGUAGCGGUGAAAUGCGUAGAUAUCAGGAGGAACACCGGUGGUGUAAACGGCUUUCUGGACCAUAACUGACGCUGAUGCACGAAAGCGUGGGUAGCAAACAGG
rnacentral:rRNA from 1 species